ACGUAAAAAUUCCACAAGGGAAUGAUCACGUAACAGCCAAGAAUCAUUUUGUGGAAUUUUAACGCGAAAAUUUGAGUAAAAUCUCAAAAUUUUGAAAAAUAACGCUAUUCAAAGCGUUACGCGUUACGUUACGGGCAAAAACGUGAGCCACCGCAUCCGCAUGUACUCAGACGGAAUAACACCGGCGAAAAUGUGCUCUUAUCACCAUUUCAUCACUUCGAAGGAAAGUUUGAUUAAUUUAGAAGUUGUUCUUAGCAAAGUUGUACUUUUGAGUAAUUAAAGGCUACGUUGAAAUUAACUAACGUGUUAAUACACUCUUUAGCGAUUUCUACAGUGCCAGCUGUAUUGAAACGAAAAAAUGGAAGCGGAAAUGAACAACGGUGACCAUAACAACCACGAGCACACUAUCGCCAACCAACGAAUCCGUCAAACCUGCAAAAUUACAAAAAGACAUGGCGAAAUAUAUCGGAAAUGCUACGUGCAAAAUGGUAACGGUCCAGAAACGAUGAAAUGGAUCAAGUUAGAGUUCCUGCAAUGGUGGGACGAGCUGACUGAAAAUACGGAUCAUUACGAAGAGUAACUAGUUAAUACGAUAACGACGGCGUAGAAACUCCAGCGAAUCGACGUAUUUGCGGGUGAAUCAGCGCACCAGAUUGCGACGAAUGAAACACAUACAAGAUGUGAUCAUUGUCGUGAUAAUUUUAGUCAUAUCAUAUUAAUUUGCAUUUUCGUACUUGUCUUUCAUACCUUAAAUAUAGAUGUAUUAUAUACUG